AUAUUAUCGUUAUUAAUUAUUAUAUAUUACUAUUAAUCAAUAUGAUCUAUAUUCAUGGGCUAAAGUUGUGACGUUGAUUUUGCAUUUAAAUUUGGUUUAGUUUUCCACAUCGUUAUGCAUGUUAAAUGCUCUGAGUCCCUGUUAAUUUUUGCGGGAACAACCAGACAAGGUUUGUUCCAGGAUUGGUUUGUGCACUUUUGAUGGAUCUCAAGGAGUUAGUGGCUUUAUUGAGAAAUCGACUGGUGGACAGAAUGGGAGUAAAAUGACAGUGAUGAAGACCAUGUGUUCUUAGUAAAAUGACAGUGAUGAAGACCAUGUGUUCUUUGGAAGCACUAAGCAAACACUGGAGGUACUUGUGCAGCAAAGAUAUUUACAGAAGGAAAAAACUAGUGGCCCAGAUGGCAAUAGUGUGAUGUAUGAGCUUGCUGAACGAGCAUUACAUGAGUCCAUCAGCAUUAAGUUGAAGGAUUACAUAGCUCAGGAUGGAGGAGUAGCGUUCUGGUCGUCAGAUCUGAUGCUAGGCAGCGAGGAUGCAGCUUGAUUAGCAACUCAGUUGCAGUUUAGUUCUUAAAUUUUUGUUGUUUUUUGUGUUUUUUUAUUUUUAUUGAGGUUUUUGUAGUAAUUUGUACUCAUGCAAAGAUUCCAUUCUUGUAGUUAAUUAUAUGAAUUAUAUGAUCACUUACAUAUAUUCAAUUCUA